rnacentral:rRNA from 1 species
GGAAUCUUCCACAAUGGGCGAAAGCCUGAUGGAGCGACGCCGCGUGAGGGAUGAAGGCCUUAGGGUUGUAAACCUCUAAAAGAGGGACGAUAAUGACGGUACCUCUUGAAUAGCACCGGCUAACUCCGUGCCAGCAGCCGCGGUAAUACGGAGGGUGCAAGCGUUAUCCGGAAUCACUGGGCGUAAAGGGCGCGUAGGCGGUCUGUUAAGUCCGAUGUUAAAUCCCGGGGCUCAACCCCGGAUAAGCGUUGGAUACUGGCAGGCUAGACGGUUGGAGAGGCGAGUGGAAUUACCAGUGUAGCGGUGGAAUGCGUAGAUACUGGUAGGAACACCCAUUGCGAAGGCAGCUCGCUGGACAACACGUGACGCUGAGGCGCGAAAGUGUGGGGAGCAAACC